rnacentral:lncRNA from 10 species
CCAGCUCACACUCUGUGGAGCUCAGAUGCACCAGUCUGAACUCCCUCGAGGCAGAGAGCCCUGGCCUCUGCACUUGCACACUGACUCACGCAGAGCCUGGGGCUGCCUGGGCCUGAUGGAGCUGGCAGGCAGGGACUGUCUUUUUCCUGGAGGACUUCCUGGUGGAGGCCUGCUGCAGUUGGAGGCCUGAAGCACAGCGGACAGCCCCAGGCGUGUGUGGCACACCCAACACCCCCAUCCUUCCCAUGAGCCAGGACAUGGCCCGGGGGGCCUCUCUCCGAGGGAAGUGUGCCACCAUCAGGACGUGGGGUUCAGGAAGCAGCCCAGGCUGAAUGGAGGAGAAUGGAGGCAGGAAGGCCAGGAAGAAGUUGAAGCUGCCUUCCCAGCGACAGGCUCCCGCCCGGCCACGUUCCUCAUGCAGGCGUUUGGAAGCCCCGCGGCACCCGGUGGGUGAAGACAAGCUGUGUCGUUUGUGCCUUGGCGGCGGCCGCUCUCCAACCCCCAUGGCCCGGCCCCUCCCCAGCCCGGCCGCCCGUCCACAGCUCCAGACCCGGGGUCAACCACUUGUGCCAAGGAGCCUGAGAUCCCAGCCCAUGCCCAGCCAGUCAGAGGUAAGGAAACGGAGGUGGGCAGGAGGCCCGCUGGGGGCCUAGGCUGCCCCUGAACAUGAGGGAAUGAGCAGGUGGCGGGGUCUGGAGGGUCUCCGCCUCAGUUCUGUGGCCCCCAAGGCUCCAAGCUCCCCCCACCUCUGCAUGGUAGAUCUCUGUGAGGGGCAGGGUACAGAUCCCCACUGAGCGGGCACCCUGGGGCUCCCACGUGGAGGAGCACAGGGUCCCACACUGCAGACAGCUGGCCAGGCCGGAGUUCAGCUCCUCCAAGGUCAGGAGUCGGGAAAGUUGAGAGUGCAGAGGGAAGUGACGGUAGAUGGGGUAGACAGG